rnacentral:tRNA from 1 species
AAGAAAUUAGUAUACAUUAUUAUUACAUAAAAUUGCAAAUUUUAAAAUAACUUUCUUU